AGAGUUUGAUCCUGGCUCAGGACGAACGCUGGCGGCGUGCUUAACACAUGCAAGUCGAACGGAAAGGCCCCCACCUUGGUGGGGGUGCUCGAGUGGCGAACGGGUGAGUAACACGUGGGUGAUCUGCCCUGUACUUCGGGAUAAGCUUGGGAAACUGGGUCUAAUACCGGAUAGGACCAUGGUUUAGCAUCUCAUGGUGGAAAGAUUAUUGUUUUGGUGCAGGAUGAGCUCGCGGCCUAUCAGCUUGUUGGUGGGGUAAUGGCCUACCAAGGCGUCGACGGGUAGCCGGCCUGAGAGGGUGGACGGCCACAUUGGGACUGAGAUACGGCCCAGACUCCUACGGGAGGCAGCAGUGGGGAAUAUUGCACAAUGGGCGCAAGCCUGAUGCAGCGACGCCGCGUGGGGGAUGACGGCCUUCGGGUUGUAAACUCCUUUCGUUAGGGACGAAGCCGCACCUUUUUUUGGGUGUGGUGACGGUACCUUUGUUAAGAAGCACCGGCUAACUACGUGCCAGCAGCCGCGGUAAUACGUAGGGUGCGAGCGUUGUCCGGAAUUACUGGGCGUAAAGAGCUCGUAGGUGGUUUGUUGCGUCGUCUGUGAAAUUCCGGGGCUUAACUUCGGGGUGGCAGGCGAUACGGGCAUAACUAGAGUGCUGUAGGGGAGACUGGAAUUCCUGGUGUAGCGGUGGAAUGCGCAGAUAUCAGGAGGAACACCGAUGGCGAAGGCAGGUCUCUGGGCAGUAACUGACGCUGAGGAGCGAAAGCAUGGGGAGCGAACAGGAUUAGAUACCCUGGUAGUCCAUGCUGUAAACGGUGGGCGUUAGGUGUGGGGACCGGUUUGGUUUCUGUGCCGUAGCUAACGCAUUAAGCGCCCCGCCUGGGGAGUACGGCCGCAAGGCUAAAACUCAAAGGAAUUGACGGGGGCCC
rnacentral:rRNA from 1 species